AACGAACGCUGGCGGCAGGCUUAACACAUGCAAGUCGAACGCCCCGCAAGGGGAGUGGCAGACGGGUGAGUAACGCGUGGGAAUCUACCCAGAUCUACGGAACAACAGAGGGAAACUUCUGCUAAUACCGUAUACGCCCUACGGGGGAAAGAUUUGUCGGAUUUGGAUGAGGCCGCGUUGGAUUAGCUAGUAGGUGGGGUAAUGGCCCACCAAGGCGACGAUCCAUAGCUGGUCUAAGAGGAUGAUGAGCCACACUGGGACUGGGACACGGCCCAGACUCCUACGGGAGGCAGCAGUGGGGAAUAUUGGGCAAUGGGCGCAAUCCUGAUCCAGCCAGGCCGCGUGAGUGAUGAAGGCCCUAGGGUUGUAAAGCUCUUUCACCGGUGACGAUAAUGACGGUAGCCGGAGAAGAAGCCCCGGCUAACUUCGUGCCAGCCGCCGCGGUAACAC
rnacentral:rRNA from 1 species